AUAUGACCUUAAACAAAUAGAAGCACUAUUUGUCUCAGAUAACAGAAAGUCCAGAGACAGGUAGUCCAGGCUGCUGUCAAACUGAAUGGUGUCCCCCAGAAUUCAGCUCCUUCUACUGCUUUGGCCCUCCAUAUUUAGAAUGUGAUUGAAAGACCAAGCCUGCCAAGCCUCCAGAAAUCACAUCCUUGUUCCAGGAAAUAAAAUUGAGGAAGAGCAAGAAGGAGCCUACGAUACACCAACUACCUCAGAUUUCCUUCAGAAACCUUUCCCGGAAGCUGUACUCAGUGUGGUCUCUACUUUCUGCAAGGGCGUAUGGGAGUGCUUCUUUCAGGCCCUUGACCAGCCAGCCAGUGAUUCACUGCUGCUCAGAAGCAUAUAUCUCCAUCUUCGGCCACUUCUCACUCCAUCAAAUGCUCACAACUGAAAUUCCUGCUCAGAGCUCUGCCCACCAGGAGGACUUUGCUUCUAUACUGCAUUUUAAGGCCACCACUGCCUAGGGCUUUAGUGUGGCUGCAGUCCACUUGCAGCUCACACCAUCCUACC
ensembl:lncRNA